rnacentral:rRNA from 1 species
UACAGAGACUGCAAGCGUUAUUCGGAUUCACUGGGCGUAAAGGGUGCGCAGGCGGUUGGGUGGGUCAGAUGGGAAAUCCCGAGGCUCAACCUCGGAACUGCGUCUGAAACUACUCGACUAGAGUACUGGAGAGGGUAACGGAAUUCACGGUGUAGCAGUGAAAUGCGUAGAUAUCGUGAGGAACACCAGAGGCGAAGGCGGUUACCUGGACAGUUACUGACGCUCAGGCACGAAAGCAUGGGGAGCAAAAGGG